rnacentral:rRNA from 1 species
CCUACGGGAGGCAGCAGUGGGGAAUAUUGGGCAAUGGGCGCAAGUCUGACCCAGCAACGCCGCGUGAAGGAAGAAGGCUUUCGGGUUGUAAACUUCUUUUAUUGAGGACGAAACAAAUGACGGUACUCAAUGAAUAAGCCACGGCUAACUACGUGCCAGCAGCCGCGGUAAUACGUAGGUGGCAAGCGUUAUUCGGAUUUACUGGGUGUAAAGGGCGUGUAGGCGGGACUGCAAGUCAGAUGUGAAACCCAUGGGCUCAACCCAGGGCCUGACUUUGAAACUGUAGUUCUUGAGUGUAGGAGAGGCAAGCGGAAUUCCGGGUGUAGCGGUGGAAUGCGUAGAUAUAAGGAGGAACACCAGUGGCGAAGGCGGCCUGCUGGACAUUAACUGACGCUGAGGCGCGAAAGGGUGGGGAGCAAACAGGAUUAGAUACCCCUGUAGUC